rnacentral:rRNA from 1 species
UACGGGGGGGGCAAGCGUUGUUCGGAAUUACUGGGCGUAAAGGGUUCGUAGGUGGCCAACUAAGUCAGACGUGAAAUCCCUCGGCUCAACCGGGGAACUGCGUCUGAUACUGGGAGGCUAGAGUGCGGGAGAGGGAUGCGGAAUUCCAGGUGUAGCGGUGAAAUGCGUAGAUAUCUGGAGGAACACCGGUGGCGAAGGCGGCAUCCUGGACCGACACUGACGCUGAGGCGCGAAAGCUAGGGUAGCAAACGGG